rnacentral:rRNA from 1 species
AGAGUUUGAUCCUGGCUCAGGAUGAACGCUAGCGGCAGGCCUAAUACAUGCAAGUCGAACGAGGUUUAAUAGCAAUAUUAAACUUAGUGGCGCACGGGUGCGUAACGCGUAUGCAACCUACCCUUUACUGGGAGAUAGCCCGGGGAAACCCGGAUUAAUACCCCAUAACAUUGUGAGCCGGCAUCGGUUUACAAUUAAAGUUGCGAUGGUAAAGGAUGGGCAUGCGUCUGAUUAGCUAGUUGGUGAGGUAACGGCUCACCAAGGCUACGAUCAGUAGGGGAACUGAGAGGUUGAUCCCCCACACUGGCACUGAGAUACGGGCCAGACUCCUACGGGAGGCAGCAGUAGGGAAUAUUGGGCAAUGGUCGAAAGACUGACCCAGCCAUGCCGCGUGAAGGAAGAAGGCUUUCUGAGUUGUAAACUUCUUUUAUCUGGGAAAAAAAUACCCUUGCGAGGGGAACUGAUGGUACCAGAUGAAUAAGCACCGGCUACUCCGUGCCAGCAGCCGCGGUAAUACGGAGGGUGCAAGCGUUGUCCGGAUUUAUUGGGUUUAAAGGGUGCGUAGGCGGCUUUAUAAGUCAGCGUUGAAAUAUGGCAGCUUAACUGUCAGACUGGCAUUGAUACUGUAGAGCUUGAGUGAAGUCGAGGUUGGCGGAAUUGACGGUGUAGCGGUGAAAUGCAUAGAUAUCGUCAAGAACACCGAUUGCGAAGGCAGCUAACUAGACUUUAACUGACGCUGAGGCACGAAAGCGUGGGGAUCAANNAGGAUUAGAUACCCNNGUAGUCC